UACAGAGGGUGCAAGCGUUGUUCGGAAUUAUUGGGCGUAAAGGGCGCGUAGGCGGUUCGGCAAGUCUCUAGUGAAAUCUCUGGGCUCAACUCAGAGUCUGCUGGGGAAACUGCCGGGCUUGAGUGUGGGAGAGGAGAGUGGAAUUCCUGGUGUAGCGGUGAAAUGCGCAGAUAUCAGGAGGAACACCGGUGGCGAAGGCGGGUCUC
rnacentral:rRNA from 1 species